CAGCAGCCGCGGUAAUACGUAUGUCACAAGCGUUAUCCGGAUUUAUUGGGCGUAAAGCGCGUCUAGGUGGUUAUGUAAGUCUGAUGUGAAAAUGCAGGGCUCAACUCUGUAUUGCGUUGGAAACUGUGUAACUAGAGUACUGGAGAGGUAAGCGGAACUACAAGUGUAGAGGUGAAAUUCGUAGAUAUUUGUAGGAAUGCCGAUGGGGAAGCCAGCUUACUGGACAGAUACUGACGCUAAAGCGCGAAAGCGUGGGUAGCGAACAGGAUUAGAGACCCCGGUAGUCCCUGUCUCUUAUACA
rnacentral:rRNA from 1 species